rnacentral:rRNA from 1 species
AGAACGACUCUCGGCAACRGAUAUCUCGGCUCUCGCAUCKAUGAAGAACGUAGCGAAAUGCGAUACUUGGUGUGAAUUGCAGAAUCCCGUGAACCAUCGAGUCUUUGAACGCAAGUUGCGCCCGAAGCCAUCAGGUNGAGGGCACGUCUGCCUGGGCGUCACAC